rnacentral:rRNA from 1 species
GACGUAGGGGGCGAGCGUUACCCGGAUUCACUGGGCGUAAAGGGCGUCUAGGCGGUUCGGCAAGUCGCCUGUGAAAGCCCCUGGCUCAACUGGGGGAGGCCGGGCGAUACUGCCGGGCUAGAGGGCGGCAGAGGAAGGUGGAACGGCCAGAGUAGCGGUGAAAUGCGUAGAUACUGGCCGGUACCCCGAUGGCGAAGGCAACCUUCUGGGCCGUCCCUGACGCUGAAGCGCGAAAGCGUGGGGAGCGAACCGG